AACAAUGAUAAACUGAUACUGAGAUCCCUAAGCAACAUAGCAGUUUAAAUGGAGGAACAUCAGGCUGAAACCAAAACCCAGUGGAAGUAAAUAUCCAGACUUCUACUGGACCUUGAACAUAGCCCCUAUCGUUGUGUCCUUUGAAAUCAUUUUAAGACAGUCAAGAUUAUUUCCAUUAUAAUGUGCAAGUAUGUUCCUUGUAGACAACAAACAGCUCUGAACUGAAAUAUACUACUCAAGUCAUCACUGACAAUUUAAAGACACCCAAGUUUCAAGUUUUAUCAGCUGCAGUAAAAAGAAAUCUGUCCAUCUGAGUCUGUACGGGUUUACGUAAGUGAGAAAAUAGACUGGAAACUUACAGACUAUUAGAGAAAAUAGGACUGUUUUCAAGAUACUACUUCUUCCUCAAAAGGAGCUCUUCACCAUACAGCCACAUCCACUGGUGAAGGACAGCUGGGAAGCAGUUACUUCUGGUUGAUUUACCCAAACUUCAUAUAAAUGGUAACAGUUUCUCACU